UACGGAGGGUGCGAGCGUUGUCCGGAAUCAUUGGGCGUAAAGCGCGUGUAGGCGGUUCUGUAAGUCUGCUGUGAAAGUCCAGGGCUCAACCCUGGGAUGCCGGUGGAUACUGCAGGGCUAGAGUACGGAAGAGGCGAGUGGAAUUCCCGGUGUAGCGGUGAAAUGCGCAGAUAUCGGGAGGAACACCUAUUGCGAAGGCAGCUCGCUGGGACGUUACUGACGCUGAGACGCGAAAGCGUGGGGAGCAAACAGG
rnacentral:rRNA from 1 species